UUACUUGCGUAUGUACUACUCACUAUCUCACUCGGUAGGUACUCCAUUCCUACGUCAAGAGACUGACCAACCGAAUUCCAAAAGUGAC